rnacentral:rRNA from 1 species
UACGUAGGGUGCAAGCGUUAAUCGGAAUUACUGGGCGUAAAGCGUGCGCAGGCGGUGAUGUAAGGCAGAUGUGAAAUCCCCGGGCUCAACCUGGGAACUGCAUUUGUGACUGCAUCGCUAGAGUACGGCAGAGGGGGAUGGAAUUCCGCGUGUAGCAGUGAAAUGCGUAGAUAUGCGGAGGAACACCGAUGGCGAAGGCAAUCCCCUGGGCCUGUACUGACGCUCAUGCACGAAAGCGUGGGGAGCAAACAGG